rnacentral:rRNA from 2 species
GGUUAAGCGACUAAGCGUACACGGUGGAUGCCCUGGCAGUCAGAGGCGAUGAAGGACGUGCUAAUCUGCGAAAAGCGUCGGUAAGGUGAUAUGAACCGUUAUAACCGGCGAUGUCCGAAUGGGGAAACCCAGUGCAAUUCGUUGCACUAUCGUUAACUGAAUACAUAGGUUAACGAGGCGAACCGGGGGAACUGAAACAUCUAAGUACCCCGAGGAAAAGAAAUCAACCGAGAUUCCCCCAGUAGCGGCGAGCGAACGGGGAGCAGCCCAGAGUCUGAAUCAGCUUGUGUGUUAGUGGAACGGUCUGGAAAGUCCGACGGUACAGGGUGAUAGUCCCGUACACCAAAAUGCACAGGCUGUGAACUCGAAGAGUAGGGCGGGACACGUGGUAUCCUGUCUGAAUAUGGGGGGACCAUCCUCCAAGGCUAAAUACUCCUGACUGACCGAUAGUGAACCAGUACCGUGAGGGAAAGGCGAAAAGAACCCCGGCGAGGGGAGUGAAAAAGAACCUGAAACCGUGUACGUACAAGCAGUGGGAGCACCUUCGGGUGUGACUGCGUACCUUUUGUAUAAUGGGUCAGCGACUUAUAUUCUGUAGCAAGGUUAACCGUAUAGGGGAGCCGCAGGGAAACCGAGUCUUAACUGGGCGUUAAGUUGCAGGGUAUAGACCCGAAACCCGGUGAUCUAGCCAUGGGCAGGUUGAAGGUUGGGUAACACUAACUGGAGGACCGAACCGACUAAUGUUGAAAAAUUAGCGGAUGACUUGUGGCUGGGGGUGAAAGGCCAAUCAAACCGGGAGAUAGCUGGUUCUCCCCGAAAGCUAUUUAGGUAGCGCCUCGUGAAUUCAUCUUCGGGGGUAGAGCACUGUUUCGGCUAGGGGGUCAUCCCGACUUACCAACCCGAUGCAAACUACGAAUACCGAAGAAUGUUAUCACGGGAGACACACGGCGGGUGCUAACGUCCGUCGUGAAGAGGGAAACAACCCAGACCGCCAGCUAAGGUCCCAAAGUCAUGGUUAAGUGGGAAACGAUGUGGGAAGGCACAGACAGCCAGGAUGUUGGCUUAGAAGCAGCCAUCAUUUAAAGAAAGCGUAAUAGCUCACUGGUCGAGUCGGCCUGCGCGGAAGAUGUAACGGGGCUAAACCAUGCACCGAAGCUGCGGCAGCGACACUAUGUGUUGUUGGGUAGGGGAGCGUUCUGUAAGCCUGCGAAGGUGUGCUGUGAGGCAUGCUGGAGGUAUCAGAAGUGCGAAUGCUGACAUAAGUAACGAUAAAGCGGGUGAAAAGCCCGCUCGCCGGAAGACCAAGGGUUCCUGUCCAACGUUAAUCGGGGCAGGGUGAGUCGACCCCUAAGGCGAGGCCGAAAGGCGUAGUCGAUGGGAAACAGGUUAAUAUUCCUGUACUUGGUGUUACUGCGAAGGGGGGACGGAGAAGGCUAUGUUAGCCGGGCGACGGUUGUCCCGGUUUAAGCAUGUAGGCUGAUUGUCCAGGCAAAUCCGGAUAAUCAAGGCUGAGGUGUGAUGACGAGGCACUACGGUGCUGAAGUAACAAAUGCCCUGCUUCCAGGAAAAGCCUCUAAGCAUCAGGUAACAUCAAAUCGUACCCCAAACCGACACAGGUGGUCAGGUAGAGAAUACCAAGGCGCUUGAGAGAACUCGGGUGAAGGAACUAGGCAAAAUGGUGCCGUAACUUCGGGAGAAGGCACGCUGGUGUGUAGGUGAAGCCCCUGCGGGUGGAGCUGAGACCAGUCGAAGAUACCAGCUGGCUGCAACUGUUUAUUAAAAACACAGCACUGUGCAAACACGAAAGUGGACGUAUACGGUGUGACGCCUGCCCGGUGCCGGAAGGUUAAUUGAUGGGGUUAUCCGUAAGGAGAAGCUCUUGAUCGAAGCCCCGGUAAACGGCGGCCGUAACUAUAACGGUCCUAAGGUAGCGAAAUUCCUUGUCGGGUAAGUUCCGACCUGCACGAAUGGCGUAAUGAUGGCCAGGCUGUCUCCACCCGAGACUCAGUGAAAUUGAACUCGCUGUGAAGAUGCAGUGUACCCGCGGCAAGACGGAAAGACCCCGUGAACCUUUACUAUAGCUUGACACUGAACAUUGAGCCUUGAUGUGUAGGAUAGGUGGGAGGCUUUGAAGCGUGGACGCCAGUCUGCGUGGAGCCAACCUUGAAAUACCACCCUUUAAUGUUUGAUGUUCUAACGUUGGCCCCUUACCGGGGUUGCGGACAGUGUCUGGUGGGUAGUUUGACUGGGGCGGUCUCCUCCCAAAGCGUAACGGAGGAGCACGAAGGUUAGCUAAUCCUGGUCGGACAUCAGGAGGUUAGUGCAAUGGCAUAAGCUAGCUUGACUGCGAGCGUGACGGCGCGAGCAGGUGCGAAAGCAGGUCAUAGUGAUCCGGUGGUUCUGAAUGGAAGGGCCAUCGCUCAACGGAUAAAAGGUACUCCGGGGAUAACAGGCUGAUACCGCCCAAGAGUUCAUAUCGACGGCGGUGUUUGGCACCUCGAUGUCGGCUCAUCACAUCCUGGGGCUGAAGUAGGUCCCAAGGGUAUGGCUGUUCGCCAUUUAAAGUGGUACGCGAGCUGGGUUUAGAACGUCGUGAGACAGUUCGGUCCCUAUCUGCCGUGGGCGCUGGAGAAUUGAGGGGGGCUGCUCCUAGUACGAGAGGACCGGAGUGGACGCAUCACUGGUGUUCGGGUUGUCAUGCCAAUGGCACUGCCCGGUAGCUAAAUGCGGAAGAGAUAAGUGCUGAAAGCAUCUAAGCACGAAACUUGCCCCGAGAUGAGUUCUCCCUGAGACUUUAAGUCUCCUGAAGGAACGUUGAAGACGACGACGUUGAUAGGCCGGGUGUGUAAGCGCAGCGAUGCGUUGAGCUAACCGGUACUAAUGAACCGUGAGGCUUAACCUU